GGGCCCGAACUGGUUUCGACCGGGUCGAGGAGGCGGGAUGUGGCGCGCCGAGGUCGCCCGUUGGCCUCGCUAAACAACGGGCAAAAACAUAGUUGCCAACAACAACUACGCUCUCGCGGCCUAGCCGUGACGUCGCCUGAGGUCUUCCCGCAAGCCCCGCAAGGGGCGGCUUCAGGUGGACGUUAAAGCGCGGGAUAGGUCGAGGCGCCGCUCCGACGGGGCGCUGAGACGACAAAAACACCGCCGGAAGGCCCCAGGGGAUCCCGUCCGUGGGAGCCCCGAGGGCGAGACAAAUCGCGGACUACGCGCGUAGAGGCACUCGUCGAAUCACCUUGGGACGGGAGUUCGAUUCUCCCCGGGUCCACUU
rnacentral:tmRNA from 1 species